GUAUUUGUAUCGCUGUUUUUAUUUUUAAGUUUAGUUUUUAUUUUAGUCUCAUUUUAGUUUAGUUUCAUUUUAGUUUAAUCAAGUAUUAUUUGGUGGUUUGAUUAAACGGAAAAUCAUAUUUUUUGGAUAACAUUUUGGUAGGGCAAAAUCAUUUUUAUUAUACAAUGGUUGAUGUGUAUUUAGCAUUGUGAGAUUAUUGCAGUUAAGAUUGUUGUAGUAUU